UGAUUCGUAGCUUCCUGAUGCAGUAUCCAGAAAGAUCAAUCACUUUAAUUAUUGGCGUUCUGUGGUGUUCUUUGAGGGGCGGACCGUAGUUUCAUGAGUUAGAUAUGUGUAUUAGUAGUGUGUAUGUGGGAUAGUAGCGCAUGAGUGUGUGAGCGCUGUGUGUUGCUGCCGCAGGCGUCUCUCUCGAUGACCCCCAUGAGCAUCUUCAGACACGGAGCGGACGAGGAGAAGGCGGAGACGGCGCGCCUGUCGUCCUUCAUCGGAGCCAUCGCCAUCGGGGAUCUGGUCAAGAGCACCCUGGGGCCCAAGGGCAUGGACAAGAUCCUGCUGGGCGGCGGCCGGGACAGCAGCC